UAAAUUGAUACCUGUUGGUUUAGGUAAAUAGCUGUUAACUAUUUUUUGUGGGAUCGAGGCCCACCAGUUUA
rnacentral:tRNA from 1 species